AUCUUUGGUUGGAGAUCCCUCUCUUGUGGAGUUUUCACUGUGAGCCUAGAUCUUUGGAGAUGGAACAUGACUGGCCAUUGCAACACUUUACCAUAUGUAUCAACAUCGGACUAUAUCACUACCUGGAUCUCAGCAAUAAUUCUUUCUCAAAACCCCAGAAAAGCUUAAAGGAAAAGUAGUAGAAGAGGAGGAGUUCAUCAGAACAGCCCAUCAGUCCCAUUCACUGCAGAGAAGAAAGAGUUGAGAACUUCAGUUUCAAGAGACACUGUUGCGCAUUGAUCUCUGUGGGCACGCUCUGCUAACUGCCAAGAGGUUCACACUUCAAAUCAAUUGGAGCAAAUCUCAAGCUAUAUGACACUGAAAACACAGUCCUCUUUCUUUCAAAAAAAACUACGCCAAACAUCCUGAUCUUCUGUGAAAGCAACAAAACUGUAGAUGGACAAAUCUGCUUAUUUCCAGGUAGAAAUGCAUCUCGGUAUUUUAUUUUGGCUCUGGGGUGAAUAGCUGCAAUAUCUACAUAAGAAAGAAAUGUUGUCACGUGGUCUGCCACAUAUCAAAUGCAGGUAUGGUUCAUGCUUUAUUUUUCAUAGAUCUGCAGAAGAGCAUUUCUAACCUGUGACCAAGAAAAAAUGACAAUUCUAUCUUCAGCAGAUUUAACUAGAGCUGGACUAAUUGUAUCUAACAGGCUGCUUUCCAGUGUCUGCUGCUGAGAGUGGGACUACAUUUAAUUAACUUCCCUUUGCUUUUAAAUAGCUGUUCAUAGAAAUCAAAUAAUUUCUUGGAAAGAAAACCUAAAUCUACAAUACUGUUAUUGACCAGGAUAUUAUUUUUGCAUGUAAAUUCAUAGCGAACGACCAUUUGAUUACUAUGUUUCAUUAACUCUGCUUGAAAAAAAAAAAAAAAAGAAA